AUUGAACGCUGGCGGAAUGCUUUACACAUGCAAGUCGAGCGGCAGCACGGGGGUAACCCUGGUGGCGAGCGGCGAACGGGUGAGUAAUACAUCGGAACAUGCCCAGUCGUGGGGGAUAACACUUCGAAAGAAGUGCUAAUACCGCAUACGUCCUGAGGGAGAAAGCGGGGGAUCGCAAGACCUCGCGCGAUUGGAGUGGCCGAUGUCAGAUUAGCUAGUUGGUGGGGUAAAGGCCUACCAAGGCAACGAUCUGUAGCUGGUCUGAGAGGAUGAUCAGCCACACUGGGACUGAGACACGGCCCAGACUCCUACGGGAGGCAGCAGUGGGGAAUUUUGGACAAUGGGGGCAACCCUGAUCCAGCCAUUCCGCGUGAGUGAAGAAGGCCUUCGGGUUGUAAAGCUCUUUCGGCAGGAACGAAACGGUGAGCUCUAACAUAGCUUGCUAAUGACGGUACCUGAAGAAGAAGCAACGGCUAACUACGUG
rnacentral:rRNA from 1 species